rnacentral:rRNA from 1 species
CCUACGGGUGGCUGCAGUGAGGAAUAUUGGUCAAUGGGCGAGAGCCUGAACCAGCCAAGUCGCGUGAGGGAGUACUGCCCUAUGGGUUGUAAACCUCUUUUGUCGGGGAGCAAAAGCCGGACGUGUCCGGCUGUGAGAGUACCCGAAGAAAAAGCAUCGGCUAACUCCGUGCCAGCAGCCGCGGUACUACGGAGGAGGCGAGCGUUAUCCGGAUUUAUUGGGUUAAAGGGGUGCGCAGGCGUAUUUUAAAGUCAGCGGUAAACUCGUGGGGCUCAAACCCAUCCAGCCGGUGAAACUGGGGAUCUUGAGUGUGCGAGAGGUAUGCGGAAUGCGUGGGGUAGCGGUGAAAUGCAUAGAGAUCAGGCAGAACCCCGAUUGCGAAGGCAGCAGACCGGUGCACAACUGACGCUCAGGCGCGAAAGCGUGGGUAUCGAACAGGAUUAGAUACCCCUGUAGUC